rnacentral:rRNA from 1 species
CGAACGAGCGACGCCGCGUGCGGGAUGAAGGCCUUUGGGUUGUAAACCGCUGUCGAGGGGGAUGAAGGCAUUCAGGUACUCCUGAAUGUUUGACAGAGCCCUGGAGGAAGCACGGGCUAAGUUCGUGCCAGCAGCCGCGGUAAUACGAACUGUGCGAACGUUAUUCGGAAUCACUGGGCUUACAGGGUGCGUAGGCGGCUAUUCAGGUCAGGUGUGAAAGCCCUCGGCUCAACCGAGGAACUGCGCUUGAAACCGGAUGGCUCGAGUCAACUAGAGGUGCACGGAACUUCCAGUGGAGCGGUGAAAUGUGUUGAUAUUGGAAGGAACACCGGAGGCGAAAGCGGUGCACUGGGGUUGGUCUGACGCUGAGGCACGAAAGCCAGGGGAGCGAACGGGAUUAGAUACCCCGGUAGUCCUGGCCGUAAACGAUGAGUGCUGGACGGGAGGGGGUUCGCCCUUUCCGGUCGGAGCGAAAGCGGGAAGCACUCCGCCUGGGGAGUAUGGUCGCAAGGCUG